rnacentral:tmRNA from 1 species
GGGGACGACCUGGUUUCGACGUGGGUUACAAAGCAGAACAGGGCAUACCGAGGCCUGGUUACCUCGUAAAUACACCCAGAAAUCAAUAACUGCAAACGAUUCUUCGUACGCACUGGCUGCUUAAUGCACCAGCCCUACAGCACCUCGUCCCUCGGGUGUGCUGGCAACAGCAGUAGGGUCACUUAGAGGGAAUCGCACUACAACGGGUCACUUGGAGUAGUGUUAAAUUUAAGGUGAAUCGCCUGUACGGAACGUGUACAUCCGUGCCGUCCGGGUUAAAUCAAAAGAUAGUACUAAGUAUGUAGAACUGUCUGUAGAGUGCUUGCGGACGCGGGUUCGAUUCCCGCCGUCUCCACCA